rnacentral:lncRNA from 1 species
GCAGUUUAGUGAGACUUUAGAUAGUUUUGUUGUCAGAGAGCAGGUUCAGUUCCUUUGUAGCUCAGGAUAGCCUUGAACUUGUGACCAUUCUCUUGCUUCAGCAUCCCAAGCGCUGGGAUUAUAGGAGCACAGCACUACAUUAAGCAGUGGAGAGCGAAGGUGAGAGGGGAAAAGAAGAGGCGGGCCAGCUGUCUGCCUACUUUUCCUGUCCUCAGCACUGCCCUUACAGAGAGUCUGUGACACCCAUGAGUGAAUGUGCGCACCUACAGCGAGUCAAUGUGUCAGCGGGGCAGAGCACAGCACUGAGUGAUGGGUGGGGGUGGGCAGAUCCAUGCCCAAAGGCUGGCUUUACAUCCACAACACACCAGGAUCUGUUUCCAAGGCAGACCAAAGUGAGUGCUCUAAAAUGGGUAAAUGGCGAAGGGACUGGGUGAAGCACACCAUUCCAUGCUCCUGGUAUGUUUUUUUUUCCAUGACAGCAAGCAAAUAAAAACAGCUGGUUUUGCUUGGUGUUUCAUUCCCAUGGUGGUGGUAAGGCAAAGUACGCAUGGAGCUAUAGGCUGUGCAAUAUCAAUUGUCACCAUGAUCUUGCUACAGGAGGCAGGAGCUCUUAAAACUGCAUGCACAACUGGAGAGUGCAACCUGGGUGGCACCGUUCACAUUAGCACUAGGAGGCCGAAAGUCUCCCUAGGAAUCUGUGGUUUCGCAGCAAAUGAAAAAUGCCUCACAGCUGGAGCGAGGGAGACAAGAGGACAAAGAUGGAGGCAGAGCCACAGCUUUGAACCGGACACCUUCGAGGGUUCUCACUUUGCAUGACUAGGUCCUGUAGAUUAUGGAGCCAUGGGAAACAUCUCUCCUAUGGUUGUACUUUCUGCCCCUAGCAAGGCUCUGCCGACCUGAGUGUGUGAGUAGGCGACAACUCAAGAGUUCCAAGUCAACUUUUCACCUGGUGAGGAAGAGAAGGAAGCAAGACAGGGAUACAGAGUUGCCCAGGAGCCACACCAAGCUUGGGGACCCGGUGCAUGUCCCUCUCUGCCCAGCUGCCUGGUUCUGUGAGCCACAGCCAUCUUCUAAGAGAUCUGCAGUCAGUCAUGUGACCUUUCUCUGGUUCCACCACAGGACUUUCACUCCUCAUACCUCCCUGGGUACAGAAAAGGCAGGUGUGAGCUGCUUCCCCGUGACUGUCAUUGUUCACAAAAAACCACACACGACUGAGCUCUUGCAUUGGUGUAUGACGUGGGCACAGUGGAGGUGAUCAAUGAGUGACCAUCAGUGGACCAUCUGCAAAAGGUAGCUGAAUGCCAUUCCUGGGGGCAUCUGGGGGCAUUUCAAGAGGACACCAUCUUGGAGCUGGCACUGGACAGUGGCUAGCCUUCAGGGAUGGAACAUCUGUCAUGACUUCCUAACUCUGCGCCCAGCAGUAGCUCUCUCAGCGGCCAUCUGGGGACAUCAGAACAAGCACACAUAGGACAGGGCUGGUAAGCCAAGCCUGUCUGGAGCAGAAGCCACAGAUAAAUCUACCCUAACAGGAUGGGACAAAUGACCAUGGCUUUCAGUGGAGGGCUGGGUUCCGUGUGGAAGCCGAGAAAACUUACUUCAGUUAUAGAAGCUCAAAAAGGAGAAAACUCACUUCAGAUCCGGAAGCUUAAAAAUUGAAAGUUUUUCUUUGUGAGAGCUCAGGGAGGACAAGAUGUAGAACUCUCAGCCCCUCCACCACCAUGCCUGCCUGGACGAUGCCAUGUUCUGGCCUUGAUGACAAUGGACUGAACCUCAGAACCUGCCAUCAUGGAGGAAAGUCAAAGCAGGAAGUCAAGGCAAGAUGUCAGGGGAAGGAACCCAGAGGCAGAAAUGGAGGAAUGCUGCUUACUAGAUUGCUUUUCAUGGCUUUCUCAUCCUGCUUUUUGAUACAACCCAGGACUCCCCCUG